rnacentral:rRNA from 1 species
CAGUAGCCGCGGUAAUACGUAGGUGGCAAGCGUUGUCCGGAAUUAUUGGGCGUAAAGGGCUCGCAGGCGGUUUCUUAAGUCUGAUGUGAAAGCCCCCGGCUCAACCGGGGAGGGUCAUUGGAAACUGGGAAACUCGAGUGCAGAAGAGGAGAGUGGAAUUCCACGUGUAGCGGUGAAAUGCGUAGAGAUGUGGAGGAACACCAGUGGCGAAGGCGACUCUCUGGUCUGUAACUGACGCUGAGGAGCGAAAGCGUGGGGAGCGAACAGGAUUAGAUACCCCCGUAGUCCCUGUCUCUUAUAA